rnacentral:rRNA from 1 species
GAUGAACGCUGGCGGCGUGCCUAACACAUGCAAGUCGAGCGAUCUUCUUCGGAAGAGAGCGGCGGACGGGUGAGUAACGCGUGGGUAACCUGCCUCAUACACAUGGAUAACAUACCGAAAGGUAUGCUAAUACAAGAUGAUAUAAGAGAUUCGCAUGGAUUUCUUAUCAAAGCUCCGGCGGUAUGAGAUGGACCCGCGUCUGAUUAGCUAGUUGGUAAGGUAACGGCUUACCAAGGCGACGAUCAGUAGCCGACCUGAGAGGGUGAUCGGCCACAUUGGAACUGAGACACGGUCCAAACUCCUACGGGAGGCAGCAGUGGGGAAUAUUGCACAAUGGGCGAAAGCCUGAUGCAGCAACGCCGCGUGAGCGAUGAAGGCCUUCGGGUCGUAAAGCUCUGUCCUCAAGGAAGAUAAUGACGGUACUUGAGGAGGAAGCCCCGGCUAACUACGUGCCAGCAGCCGCGGUAAUACGUAGGGGGCUAGCGUUAUCCGGAUUUACUGGGCGUAAAGGGUGCGUAGGUGGUUUCUUAAGUCAGGAGUGAAAGGCUACGGCUCAACCGUAGUAAGCUCUUGAAACUGGGAAACUUGAGUGCAGGAGAGGAAAGUGGAAUUCCUAGUGUAGCGGUGAAAUGCGUAGAUAUUAGGAGGAACACCAGUAGCGAAGGC